CGAGGUACCAAUAGAUAUCUUGUGGAUGAACGAAAAUGGAAAUGCUACUGGUUUCACGGAAUCGUUGUUGGGACCGAGCGAUAAUGGUUUACCUCCAUCACGUACUCAUCUUACGGAUACGACAUCAUACACUCAAGAAACAAGUAUUAGAUAUACUCAAGAUGAGCAAUUCAAUUGUCCUCCUGUCAGUACCAUUCCAACAAGCCAAUUUGCAGGAUACUAUAAUCAAUUCUUGUGAACAA